CGCGGUGGAGGACGUGGUGGGCUUCAGGUGCGGCCACUCGCUCACCGCCAUCGCUUCAGGUCCGUAUCACUACCAGUAUCCUCCAAUUUUGAUCCAUCUUUUAUUGGUUUUGAUGAAUUGGAUGAAGCAAUGGCUGUUUUGAGAAGCUGUAAUGGUGGCGGCUUCCAUAUGCACCGUGUUGCUGGUGAUGAAGGCAUUGACAGUUUGCAGAGUGUCAAUGAUAGCAGAAUCCUGGUGGCCACAGUUUUAGUUUCUAAAGUGCAGUCUCUUAUUCUUCUUUACUGAUCCCUAACCCUUAAGCCUGUGCAUUUUGAUCGCAUAGAUUCUAUACCAAUGGUUCCAUCUACUGUCAUCGCUAGCUUGCAGUUUAGACAAAGCUGUUAAUCUAUCUUCUUUAAUGGGGAAAACAUUUGAUGUGUCCCCAGGUUACACAAACUUGAAUUAUUCAAAGUGAACUUCUGUUUGAGUUUCGUUUCUCUUGUGCAUAUGAUGCCCUUAGGAUCUGUUAAAUGAAAGCUCAAGAUUUGUUUGCACAUUAAAUUUGAGUUUGGCAUUUUUCAAAACUGCAAGGGGAGCUAGAGGAUAUCCAAAGAGAAAGCACGAAUGGCUGCAUCUCAGGUGAAUGGGCCUAUACUGGUGAAGGAUACUUGCCUAUGUUUUAAUCCACUCAAAGGCCUACUAGGUGAUUUAUUUUUGUUGUUCUUCAAAGUCCUCUCAUUUGCUAGGUUCUACAAAUACUAUCCGGCACACACAACAUUUAAGCUAUUUAGGCUCUGCAUAUCAUAUUGUUGUUAGAGAUUUAAGCUUUUCUGUUUGGAGCUCCCUUAUAGAUUUAUCUGGUUUUGGAGUUAGAGAAAUUUGUCUUGAAGGGGAUCAUGUUCGUCCCAGUGAAAGGAUUGCUGCAUCUGCAGAUCUUCAAUGCCUGUGUCGUAAAAUAUGCAGUUUUGCAUCUCCAUUUUGAUAAGAAUAUGGCUGCACAUUCUGCCUGUGACUUUAGAGGUGGGAGAGCUGAACUAGGUCUCCCUAAGUACAGGCAAGUUAUAUGGCCAGGGAUGGUUUCAAACUCACAGCUAAGCGACGAGGAGCUUUGGAACACAGGACGCCGCACGUUGACAACUCUAACUUCCUUCUCACAAGGUUUGACUCUUUUGUGCACCAACUUACUCUUGCCGGAGAAAUCAAAAGGUUUUAAUAUGGCUCACAUAUUCAGGUAUAUGAUGAGAAGCCAGGAUCUCGAGCUUGCACAAAACAUUUCCAUUAACAUGGCUUGCAUCUUCAUUUUUCUGAUUAUGAUUUGUCAAGAGAGCUGCAGGCACUAGGAUUUAAUAGUAAAACUCCACUCUAAAAGCUUACUUGUUGUGCUCACCUCAGGAGGUAAAUAAGCAACUCAAUGUGCUUCAACCAGUGGCCUCUGUCUCCCUCAAUGCAUUUGUGCUCAUCUUUUUGUAUUCUAUUUGCAUUAGAUAGGUAAAUCCUUGAGCUUACAUAUACCACUGCACUAUUUGUUAAGUGGCUGAAACUGAAUGGAAGACCAAUUCCUACAAGCUGGAAUUUUUUUAGUGUUAUUUUUUACCCUAAGGACAUAUUUUCAUUGCUGAAUUGUGCAUUUCUUUUGAAUACAAUUGGCCGUCUCGAAUCAAAGCGCAGCGCCAUGGAGAUGCAGAGCUGGUAAUAUGAGGAUUCAAUUGAUGCAGAGCUGGUAACAUCUUUGCUGCUGUCCUAGAAGAUUCCAAAUCCUAGCGCCUAGAUGGAUUAAACAUAGAUUAAGCGUUUGUUCUUUAUAUAUAUAUAUUUUAUUUUUUCUGUCAACACCAUGGCUCAGAUUAGAUGUGCCCAACUUCAAUCUUAGAAGGAAUUGUAACACAUUAAGGCAAUUUUGAUUCCAAAUCUUCCAAACUUGGAAGAGGUGAAAAGACUUGCAACCAAAAUUAUCUAGGUGCUGUGAUCUUGUGUGACAUUGUAGGGAAGUUGGAGAAGCAGAAGCUGUAGCACGCUUGGAGGGGGUUCGUUAGACGCAGAAACAAAAGCUGCUGCAUGCUCGAGUCUUGUUGCGAAGCUCAAGAAUUGAGAAGUUUGGAGUGAAGCAAAAUAAAUUUAUGCAUGAGUCUUGUCAAUGUCAAAGAUGUAGUAUUCUUUUUUUGUGUGUCAAGAGUCUUGUUUUGUAAUGAUAUUGUUGAAUCUGUGAUAAUAAAGCUCUCUUUGGCAAA